UUAAGCGACUAAGCGUACACGGUGGAUGCCCUGGCAGUCAGAGGCGAUGAAGGACGUGCUAAUCUGCGAAAAGCGUCGGUAAGGUGAUAUGAACCGUUAUAACCGGCGAUGUCCGAAUGGGGAAACCCAGUGCAAUUCGUUGCACUAUCGUUAACUGAAUACAUAGGUUAACGAGGCGAACCGGGGGAACUGAAACAUCUAAGUACCCCGAGGAAAAGAAAUCAACCGAGAUUCCCCCAGUAGCGGCGAGCGAACGGGGAGCAGCCCAGAGUCUGAAUCAGCUUGUGUGUUAGUGGAACGGUCUGGAAAGUCCGACGGUACAGGGUGAUAGUCCCGUACACCAAAAUGCACAGGUUGUGAACUCGAAGAGUAGGGCGGGACACGUGGUAUCCUGUCUGAAUAUGGGGGGACCAUCCUCCAAGGCUAAAUACUCCUGACUGACCGAUAGUGAACCAGUACCGUGAGGGAAAGGCGAAAAGAACCCCGGCGAGGGGAGUGAAAAAGAACCUGAAACCGUGUACGUACAAGCAGUGGGAGCACCUUCGGGUGUGACUGCGUACCUUUUGUAUAAUGGGUCAGCGACUUAUAUUCUGUAGCAAGGUUAACCGUAUAGGGGAGCCGCAGGGAAACCGAGUCUUAACUGGGCGUUAAGUUGCAGGGUAUAGACCCGAAACCCGGUGAUCUAGCCAUGGGCAGGUUGAAGGUUGGGUAACACUAACUGGAGGACCGAACCGACUAAUGUUGAAAAAUUAGCGGAUGACUUGUGGCUGGGGGUGAAAGGCCAAUCAAACCGGGAGAUAGCUGGUUCUCCCCGAAAGCUAUUUAGGUAGCGCCUCGUGAACUCAUCUUCGGGGGUAGAGCACUGUUUCGGCUAGGGGGUCAUCCCGACUUACCAACCCGAUGCAAACUACGAAUACCGAAGAAUGUUAUCACGGGAGACACACGGCGGGUGCUAACGUCCGUCGUGAAGAGGGAAACAACCCAGACCGCCAGCUAAGGUCCCAAAGUCACAGUUAAGUGGGAAACGAUGUGGGAAGGCACAGACAGCCAGGAUGUUGGCUUAGAAGCAGCCAUCAUUUAAAGAAAGCGUAAUAGCUCACUGGUCGAGUCGGCCUGCGCGGAAGAUGUAACGGGGCUAAACUGUGCACCGAAGCUGCGGCAGCGACACUAUGUGUUGUUGGGUAGGGGAGCGUUCUGUAAGCCUGCGAAGGUGGCCUGUGAGGGUUGCUGGAGGUAUCAGAAGUGCGAAUGCUGACAUAAGUAACGAUAAUGCGGGUGAAAAGCCCGCACGCCGGAAGACCAAGGGUUCCUGUCCAACGUUAAUCGGGGCAGGGUGAGUCGACCCCUAAGGCGAGGCCGAAAGGCGUAGUCGAUGGGAAACAGGUUAAUAUUCCUGUACUUGGUGUUACUGCGAAGGGGGGACGGAGAAGGCUAUGUUAGCCGGGCGACGGUUGUCCCGGUUUAAGCAUGUAGGCGGAGGUUCCAGGUAAAUCCGGUACCUUUUAACGCUGAGGUGUGAUGACGAGGCACUACGGUGCUGAAGUAACAAAUGCCCUGCUUCCAGGAAAAGCCUCUAAGCAUCAGGUAACAUUAAAUCGUACCCCAAACCGACACAGGUGGUCAGGUAGAGAAUACCAAGGCGCUUGAGAGAACUCGGGUGAAGGAACUAGGCAAAAUGGUGCCGUAACUUCGGGAGAAGGCACGCUGAUAUGUAGGUGAAGCCCCUGCGGGUGGAGCUGAAAUCAGUCGAAGAUACCAGCUGGCUGCAACUGUUUAUUAAAAACACAGCACUGUGCAAACACGAAAGUGGACGUAUACGGUGUGACGCCUGCCCGGUGCCGGAAGGUUAAUUGAUGGGGUUAUCCGUAAGGAGAAGCUCUUGAUCGAAGCCCCGGUAAACGGCGGCCGUAACUAUAACGGUCCUAAGGUAGCGAAAUUCCUUGUCGGGUAAGUUCCGACCUGCACGAAUGGCGUAAUGAUGGCCAGGCUGUCUCCACCCGAGACUCAGUGAAAUUGAACUCGCUGUGAAGAUGCAGUGUACCCGCGGCAAGACGGAAAGACCCCGUGAACCUUUACUAUAGCUUGACACUGAACAUUGAGCCUUGAUGUGUAGGAUAGGUGGGAGGCUUUGAAGCGUGGACGCCAGUCUGCGUGGAGCCAACCUUGAAAUACCACCCUUUAAUGUUUGAUGUUCUAACGUUGGCCCCUGACCGGGGUUGCGGACAGUGUCUGGUGGGUAGUUUGACUGGGGCGGUCUCCUCCCAAAGAGUAACGGAGGAGCACGAAGGUUAGCUAAUCCUGGUCGGACAUCAGGAGGUUAGUGCAAUGGCAUAAGCUAGCUUGACUGCGAGCGUGACGGCGCGAGCAGGUGCGAAAGCAGGUCAUAGUGAUCCGGUGGUUCUGAAUGGAAGGGCCAUCGCUCAACGGAUAAAAGGUACUCCGGGGAUAACAGGCUGAUACCGCCCAAGAGUUCAUAUCGACGGCGGUGUUUGGCACCUCGAUGUCGGCUCAUCACAUCCUGGGGCUGAAGUAGGUCCCAAGGGUAUGGCUGUUCGCCAUUUAAAGUGGUACGCGAGCUGGGUUUAGAACGUCGUGAGACAGUUCGGUCCCUAUCUGCCGUGGGCGCUGGAGAAUUGAGGGGGGCUGCUCCUAGUACGAGAGGACCGGAGUGGACGCAUCACUGGUGUUCGGGUUGUCAUGCCAAUGGCAUUGCCCGGUAGCUAAAUGCGGAAGAGAUAAGUGCUGAAAGCAUCUAAGCACGAAACUUGCCCCGAGAUGAGUUCUCCCUGAGACUUUAAGUCUCCUGAAGGAACGUUAAAGACGAUGACGUUGAUAGGUCGGGUGUGUAAGCGUAGCGAUACGUUGAGCUAACCGAUACUAAUGAACCGUGAGGCUUAACCUU
rnacentral:rRNA from 1 species